AAGUCGUAACAAGGUUUCCGUAGGUGAACCUGCGGAAGGAUCAUUAACUAGUAUUGAAGUCCACGGGGAUCAGGCUUUCCGAAAGGAGGGCGGGGGGAUAUUUGGUUCCUCCUGCUUGGGCAGACUGGAGAGCAUGGUGUAGCCACUUUUGUUGGCUACGUUAUGUUUGGCCUCUGCUGAUCGAGCUUGUCACCUGAAUUCUACUACCCUUGCUUUUUGCGCACCCAUUGUUUCCUCGGUAGGCUUGCCUGCCAGUAGGACCACUUAAAACUCUUUGUGAUUGCAAUCAGCGUCAGAAACAACGUAAUCGUUACAACUUUCAACAACGGAUCUCUUGGUUCUG
rnacentral:misc_RNA from 1 species